rnacentral:rRNA from 1 species
GACGAAGGGGGCUAGCGUUGUUCGGAAUUACUGGGCGUAAAGCGCGUGUAGGCGGUUUUCCAAGUUGGGUGUGAAAGCCUUGGGCUUAACCCAAGAAAUGCACUCAGUACUGGAAGACUAGAGGACCGGAGAGGAUAGUGGAAUUCCCAGUGUAGUGGUGAAAUACGUAGAGAUUGGGAAGAACACCAGUGGCGAAGGCGGCUAUCUGGACGGUUUCUGACGCUAAGACGCGAAAGCGUGGGGGAGCAAACAGG